rnacentral:rRNA from 1 species
AUGAUAAGCAGACGGGCACGCGCCGCCGGCGCGCUUGCCGUGGGUGUCCGCUUCGCCCGAGCCCAGGAGUGGGGCAAGGCGUCGCGGCGGCGUUCCUACGCGCCUUGUCGCCCUCGAAGCUGGCCUUGGCGGGCCGAGGCGUCGCGGCAAGGCGGCCGGCGUGCUCUGUUGGGGCGAGGCGUCGCGGCGCUCCGGCUCCGGCAGAUGACGACAGAGAGCCAGGUGUGGCUUGGCGUCGCCAAGAGCCACGAGGUCGUCGGCGCCGGCCACCGCGCCAGGCUGGACCAGCUGCUGCAGCCCUCCUGCGCCGUCGCCGUCGCCGUGGCACAAGAAGCGCGAGUUCCCCCUCGUUGUCGGAGGCUUGGUGUCGUUCUGUAG